rnacentral:tRNA from 1 species
GGGGGUGUAGCUCAGAGGUAAAGUGUAUACCUAGUAUGCAUGAGGCCCUGGGUUCAAUCCCCAGUGCUACCA